GCCAGUGGCUAUAUCACCCUGCAGCUCACAGCUGGCAGCACACUGAAGCUCAGCAGGUGUGAGCCUGGUCAGUAUCUGGAUGGGAGACUCCCGGGAAAGCUAAGGCUGCUGCUGGAA
rnacentral:rRNA from 1 species